rnacentral:rRNA from 1 species
UACGUAGGGUGCAAGCGUUGUCCGGAAUUAUUGGGCGUAAAGAGCUCGUAGGCGGUUUGUUGCGUCGGCUGUGAAAUCCCGAGGCUCAACCUCGGGUCUGCAGUCGAUACGAGCAAACUAGAGUGUUGCAGGGGAGACUGGAAUUCCUGGUGUAGCGGUGAAAUGCGCAGAUAUCGGGAGGAACACCAGUAGCGAAGGCGGCACUCUGGGCCGGUACUGACGCUGAGGUGCGAAAGCGUGGGGAGCAAACAGG